AGCAGUGAGGAAUAUUGGUCAAUGGGCGGAAGCCUGAACCAGCCAAGUCGCGUGAAGGAUGAAGGUAUUAUGUAUUGUAAACUUCUUUAGCUGUGGAGAAAUAAGGUGGUCGAGACCACCGAUGCUAGUACACAGAGAAUAAGGAUCGGCUAACUCCGUGCCAGCAGCCGCGGUAAUACGGAGGAUCCGAGCGUUAUCCGGAUUCAUUGGGUUUAAAGGGUGCGCAGGCGGUGCCUUAAGUCAGCGGUAAAAUCGUGGGGCUCAACCCCAUCCCGCCGUUGAUACUGGGGGACUUGAUUACGGUCGAGGCAGGCGGAAUUCGUCGUGUAGCGGUGAAAUGCAUAGAUAUGACGAAGAACACCGAUUGCGUAGGCAGCCGACCAGGCCGUUAAUGACGCUCAUGCACGAAAGUGCGGGUAUCGAACAGGAUUAGAUACCCGGGU
rnacentral:rRNA from 1 species